CCUACGGGAGGCAGCAGUGGGGAAUUUUGGACAAUGGGGGCAACCCUGAUCCAGCCAUUCCGCGUGAGUGAAGAAGGCCUUCGGGUUGUAAAGCUCUUUCGCAAGGGAAGAAAACUUAUGAUCGAAUAAAUCAUGAGGUUGACGGUACCUUGAUAAGAAGCACCGGCUAACUACGUGCCAGCAGCCGCGGUAAUACGUAGGGUGCGAGCGUUAAUCGGAAUUACUGGGCGUAAAGCGUGCGCAGGCGGUUUUGUAAGUCGGAUGUGAAAUCCCCGGGCUCAACCUGGGAACUGCGUUCGAAACUGCAAGGCUAGAGUGUGUCAGAGGGGGGUAGAAGUUCCACGUGUAGCAGUGAAAUGCGUAGAGAUGUGGAGGAAUACCAAUGGCGAAGGCAGCCCCCUGGGAUAACACUGACGCUCAUGCACGAAAGCGUGGGGAGCAAACAGGAUUAGAUACCCUGGUAGUCCACGCCCUAAACGAUGUCAACUAGUUGUUGGUAGAGUAAAAUCUAUGAGUAACGUAGCUAACGCGUGAAGUUGACCGCCUGGGGAGUACGGUCGCAAGAUUAAAACUUAAAGGAAUUGACGG
rnacentral:rRNA from 1 species